rnacentral:lncRNA from 1 species
GCAGAAGAGGUUUAGGGGAUGUAGUCAGACAUACAUAAUAGUGCAUUAAUAUAUAGUAGUAGUACUAUGGACUGUAUUUUAUUUUAACAUCAUGUUAAUUUAUCGUUGUUCUCAAUUUUUUUGACAUAUAUUGGUCUUUUAUUUAUAUAUGACACUUUUGGACCAUCUUGACUUGUGUACGUCAUUUUUUGCAUAUCGCUUGUAUGGUUUAAAUAUUCAUAGAGCAAACAUAAAC